rnacentral:rRNA from 1 species
GUGAGCGGCGGACGGGUUAGUAACGCGUGGGAAUAUGCCCAAAGGUACGGAAUAGCCUCUGGAAACGGAGAGUAAUACCGUAUGUGCCCUUCGGGGGAAAGAUUUAUCGCCUUUGGAUUAGCCCGCGUUAGAUUAGGUAGUUGGUGGGGUAAUGGCCUACCAAGCCUACGAUCUAUAGCUGGUUUUAGAGGAUGAUCAGCAACACUGGGACUGAGACACGGCCCAGACUCCUACGGGAGGCAGCAGUGGGGAAUCUUGGACAAUGGGGGCAACCCUGAUCCAGCCAUGCCGCGUGAGUGAUGAAGGCCUUAGGGUCGUAAAGCUCUUUCGCCUGUGAAGAUAAUGACGGUAGCAGGUAAAGAAACCCCGGCUAACUCCGUGCCAGCAGCCGCGGUAAUACGGAGGGGGUUAGCGUUGUUCGGAAUUACUGGGCGUAAAGCGCACGUAGGCGGAUCGGAAAGUUGGGGGUGAAAUCCCGGGGCUCAACCCCGGAACUGCCUCCAAAACUAUCGGUCUAGAGUUCGAGAGAGGUGAGUGGAAUUCCGAGUGUAGAGGUGAAAUUCGUAGAUAUUCGGAGGAACACCAGUGGCGAAGGCGGCUCACUGGCUCGAUACUGACGCUGAGGUGCGAAAGUGUGGGGAGCAAACAGGAUUAGAUACCCUGGUAGUCCACACCGUAAACGAUGAAUGCCAGUCGUCGGGUAGCAUGCUAUUCGGUGACACACCUAACGGAUUAAGCAUUCCGCCUGGGGAGUACGGUCGCAAGA